GUCCCUGUAGCGCAAUGGAUGGCGCAUUGAACUUCUAAUACAGAAGGCGUGGGUUCGAACCCCACCUGGGAUG